rnacentral:misc_RNA from 1 species
GAUGAAGAACGCAGCGAAAUGCGAUAAGUAGUGUGAAUUGCAGAAGUACCGUGAAUCAUCGAAUCUUUGAACGCAAAUUGCACUCUCUGGUAUUCCGGGGAGUAUGCCUGUUUGAGGGUCGCUUAACAAACCAUCGAUUUCGUUGCUUUUUUUUUUAAAGUGAUGUUUAUCGGAUUUGAGCCGUCUUUUUUUUUAUAUUUAAGUGGCUUAAAAUUGAUUUUUUUGGUACGAUCGAAGCGUAUUUUUAUGAUCAAUUUUUGGUUAAAGAAACGCACACGUACCGUUAUUUAUAUGAUGUAAUACGUUUGACUAUUGGAUUUAGUUCAUUCGUAUACGAUAUCUUUCAAUAUUUGACCUCAAAUCAGGUAAGAACACCCGCUGAACUUAAGCAUAUCAAUAAGCGGAGGA